GAUCCUGGCUCAGGACGAACGCUGGCGGCGUGCCUAAUACAUGCAAGUCGAACGAGAGCGACCGGUGCUUGCACUGGUCAAUCUAGUGGCGAACGGGUGAGUAACACGUGGGUAACCUGCCCAUCAGAGGGGGAUAACAUUCGGAAACGGAUGCUAAAACCGCAUAGGUCCUUUAACCGCAUGGUUGAAGGGAGGAAAAGAGGCGCAAGCUUCUGCUGAUGGAUGGACCCGCGGUGCAUUAG
rnacentral:rRNA from 1 species